rnacentral:rRNA from 1 species
UAGUCCACGCCGUAAACGAUGAUUACUCGUUGUUGGCAAUACAUCGUCAGCGACUGAGCGAAAGCAUUAAGUAAUCCACCUGGGGAGUACGAUCGCAAGAUUGAAACUCAAAGGAAUUGACGGGGGCCCGCACAAGCGGAGGAACAUGUGGUUUAAUUCGAUGAUACGCGAGGAACCUUACCUGGGCUUAAAUGCAGGACGACGGAUCGGGAAACUGAUCUUUCUUCGGACGGACUGCAAGGUGCUGCAUGGCUGUCGUCAGCUCGUGCCGUGAGGUGUCGGGUUAAGUCCCAUAACGAGCGCAACCCUCAUCAUUAGUUGCCAGCGAGUAAUGUCGGGGACUCUAAUGAAACUGCCGGUGUAAACCGAGAGGAAGGUGGGGAUGACGUCAAGUCAGCACGGCCCUUAUGUCCAGGGCUACACACGUGUUACAAUGGGCUGUACAAAGGGUUGCAAAACCGCGAGGUUGAGCUAAUCCCAAAAAGCAGUCCUCAGUUCGGAUUG